UACGGGGGGGGCAAGCGUUGUUCGGAAUUACUGGGCGUAAAGGGCGCGUAGGCGGUUUGCUAAGUUGGACGUGAAAACUCUGGGCUUAACCCAGAGACUGCAUCCAAAACUGGCAAGCUGGAGUAUUGGAGGGGGAAGCGGAAUUCCUGGUGUAGCAGUGAAAUGCGUAGAUAUCAGGAGGAACACCGGUGGCGAAGGCGGCUUCCUGGACAAUAACUGACGCUGAGGCGCGAAAGCUAGGGGAGCAGACAGG
rnacentral:rRNA from 1 species